rnacentral:tRNA from 2 species
GGCUGCGUAGCUCAGUGGUAAGAGCGAAGCCCUCAUAAAGCUUAAGUCGUUGGUUCGAUUCCAACCGCAGCCA